UGGGAUGUAGCUCAGUGGGUAGAGUGUUUACCUAACAUGCAUGAAGGCCUGGGUUUGAUUCCCAGCACCCUGA
rnacentral:tRNA from 1 species